CGGGGUCCGCAUUGUAAUUUGUAGAGGAUGCUUCGGGAGCGGUCCCCAUCUAAGUGCCCUGGAACGGGACGUCAUAGAGGGUGAGAAUCCCGUAUGGGAUGGGGUGUCCGCGCCCGUGUGAAGCUCCUUCGACGAGUCGAGUUGUUUGGGAAUGCAGCUCUAAAUGGGUGGUAAAUUUCAUCUAAAGCUAAAUAUUGGCCGGAGACCGAUAGCGCACAAGUAGAGUGAUCGAAAGAUGAAAAGCACUUUGAAAAGAGAGUUAAAAAGCACGUGAAAUUGUUGAAAGGGAAGCGCUUGCGACCAGACUCGCUCGCGGGGUUCAGCCGGCAUUCGUGCCGGUGUAUUUCCCCGCGGGCGGGCCAGCGUCGGUUUGGGCGGUCGGUCAAAGGCCCUCGGAAGGUAACGCCCCUAGGGGCGUCUUAUAGCCGAGGGUGCAAUGCGACCUGCCUAGACCGAGGAACGCGCUUCGGCUCGGACGCUGGCAUAAUGGUCGUAAACGACCCGUCUUGAAACACGGACCAAGGAGUCUAACAUCUACGCGAGUGUUCGGGUGUCAAACCCGUGCGCGAAGUGAAAGCGAACGGAGGUGGGAA
rnacentral:rRNA from 1 species